AGAGUUUGAUCCUGGCUCAGGAUGAACGCUGGCGGCGUGCCUAAUACAUGCAAGUCGAGCGAAUGGAUUAAGAGCUUGCUCUUAUGAAGUUAGCGGCGGACGGGUGAGUAACACGUGGGUAACCUGCCCAUAAGACUGGGAUAACUCCGGGAAACCGGGGCUAAUACCGGAUAACAUUUUGAACCACAUGGUUCGAAAUUGAAAGGCGGCUUCGGCUGUCACUUAUGGAUGGACCCGCGUCGCAUUAGCUAGUCGGUGAGGUAACGGCUCACCAAGGCAACGAUGCGUAGCCGACCUGAGAGGGUGAUCGGCCACACUGGGACUGAGACACGGCCCAGACUCCUACGGGAGGCAGCAGAAGGG
rnacentral:rRNA from 1 species